CGCUGGCGGCGUGCCUAAUACAUGCAAGUCGAACGAACUCUGGUAUUGAUUGGUGCUUGCAUCAUGAUUUACAUUUGAGUGAGUGGCGAACUGGUGAGUAACACGUGGGAAACCUGCCCAGAAGCGGGGGAUAACACCUGGAAACAGAUGCUAAUACCGCAUAACAACUUGGACCGCAUGGUCCGAGCUUGAAAGAUGGCUUCGGCUAUCACUUUUGGAUGGUCCCGCGGCGUAUUAGCUAGAUGGUGGGGUAAUGGCUCACCAUGGCAAUGAUACGUAGCCGACCUGAGAGGGUAAUCGGCCACAUUGGGACUGAGACACGGCCCAAACUCCUACGGGAGGCAGCAGUAGGGAAUCUUCCACAAUGGACGAAAGUCUGAUGGAGCAACGCCGCGUGAGUGAAGAAGGGUUUCGGCUCGUAAAACUCUGUUGUUAAAGAAGAACAUAUCUGAGAGUAACUGUUCAGGUAUUGACGGUAUUUAACCAGAAAGCCACGGCUAACUACGUGCCAGCAGCCGCGGUAAUACGUAGGUGGCAAGCGUUGUCCGGAUUUAUUGGGCGUAAAGCGAGCGCAGGCGGUUUUUUAAGUCUGAUGUGAAAGCCUUCGGCUCAACCGAAGAAGUGCAUCGGAAACUGGGAAACUUGAGUGCAGAAGAGGACAGUGGAACUCCAUGUGUAGCGGUGAAAUGCGUAGAUAUAUGGAAGAACACCAGUGGCGAAGGCGGCUGUCUGGUCUGUAACUGACGCUGAGGCUCGAAAGUAUGGGUAGCAAACAGGAUUAGAUACCCUGGUAGUCCAUACCGUAAACGAUGAAUGCUAAGUGUUGGAGGGUUUCCGCCCUUCAGUGCUGCAGCUAACGCAUUAAGCAUUCCGCCUGGGGAGUACGGCCGCAAGGCUGAAACUCAAAGGAAUUGACGGGGGCCCGCACAAGCGGUGGAGCAUGUGGUUUAAUUCGAAGCUACGCGAAGAACCUUACCAGGUCUUGACAUACUAUGCAAAUCUAAGAGAUUAGACGUUCCCUUCGGGGACAUGGAUACAGGUGGUGCAUGGUUGUCGUCAGCUCGUGUCGUGAGAUGUUGGGUUAAGUCCCGCAACGAGCGCAACCCUUAUUAUCAGUUGCCAGCAUUAAGUUGGGCACUCUGGUGAGACUGCCGGUGACAAACCGGAGGAAGGUGGGGAUGACGUCAAAUCAUCAUGCCCCUUAUGACCUGGGCUACACACGUGCUACAAUGGAUGGUACAACGAGUUGCGAACUCGCGAGAGUAAGCUAAUCUCUUAAAGCCAUUCUCAGUUCGGAUUGUAGGCUGCAACUCGCCUACAUGAAGUCGGAAUCGCUAGUAAUCGCGGAUCAGCAUGCCGCGGUGAAUACGUUCCCGGGCCUUGUACACACCGCCCGUCACACCAUGAGAGUUUGUAACACCCAAAGUCGGUGGGGUAACCUUUUAGGAACCAGCCGCCUAAGGUGGGACAGAUGAUUAGGGUGAAGUCGUACAGG
rnacentral:rRNA from 1 species